GGAUCGAACCACUGUUACUAGGUGGGUCCCGAACCUUGGGGUUUUCCGAUUGGAUGGGCUAGAACUGAAGUAGCAAUUGUGUUUGGAGGUAUUGAUUAAUAUUUGAGUUCAACAAGGCAAGUUAACUCCUAUUGGUUGGUAUAUAUCAAGGACAGGAUUCGGUCGACGGUUCUCAUAUCGUAUAUUCGUGUAUUGCUCGUGGGCAUGUGAGUUGCAGGCAAUACAGGUUUUGAGUGCCAUGCAUGCAUGUGAGCAAACAGUGAAGAGAAGUACAUGGGGGAGAGAGAGUCUUUCUCGGAAGUGUUCUAGGUUGGGUUUCAGCAUUCUCAUGUGUCAUCAUCUUCAUCAAAUUUUGCCCAGUAGAACAAGAUCAUGCCACAGAUGGUAGGUAUCAUCUCAAACAUUUUAUCAGCUGAAUAAUACAGAAGAUAAGAUAAUCCCCAGUCCCCAUCUUCUCCAUCACAAACCAUGUGUGUAUUUCUGAGAUCAGAUUCACAAAGCAUGGAAGGAGAUCUAUCAUAGAAGGGGAACUGGGAAGUUGCAGAUGAAAGGCAAGGCGAAGUGCUGCGUCUGCACCAACUCCCUUCUCGAGACCAUCUCCAUCACCGCCCUCCUGAUCGGACCCAACAGCUCCACCACCACCCGCCACCGCAACUGCGACCACCGGACGAGCCGCCGAAGCAGUAGCCGCCGUCGCAAUUUUCCCAGCCGCACCGUGGUCCCGCGCCGCCUCCGCAGCCUCCGUCCGCUGAACCCCAUCAUCUUCUGCUGCCGCUGCUUAUUCUCCAGCACCCCGCACCACCGGAUCACCGCCAUGCUGCUCAUCUCCACUGGCAUCGCCACGCAGGCCACCUUCGCCAUGAUGCGAUGAGAGAUCAGAAGCAGUGCAACAUGGUCUUAUAACCAGGGCGGCUCCGCCCAAUCUAGACAAUGAUGACGGCCAUGAUGAUUGUGAUGUGAUAGGAUCAGUAUUAAACAUCCCAACUGCGUGAAAUGGCUCCCUUUGGUCCACAAGCAUGCAUCACAAGUGAGUGUGAGAUCAAUCAUCACGGCAGCUUCCUCUUACGAAGCUUUUUCCGCAAAUGGGCAAAAAGACUAGGGUGGAGAAAAGGUAGAGGAAUCACAAGGAAAGCAACUGCAACUCCGGCCUUUGCUUAUGGCCUACUCUUCUACUUGUAGUGGUGCUCACCACAUGAGCGUCUGCGUGGGACAGGCAUGACAGACACUAUUCUUCCUCGCUCACUCCUUUGUUUACUUCCUCAACUUUAUCAGUAUUUUAUCACCCAUUCAUUAUUAUACAUUCUUGUGCAGUGUGAUAUAAAAGCUGAGCCAUACCCACCUGAUUCUGAGAAGGGGACCCUCAUCGUCA
rnacentral:lncRNA from 1 species